GUGCUCCUUCGGCAGCGCAUACACUAAAAUUGGAACGAUACAGAGGUUAGCAUGACACGCAACUUCGCAAAGCGUCCCAUGUUUUC
rnacentral:snRNA from 14 species